CACGUGCACAGUUCUGGGCAGUGAGGGGAGACGGGAAGAGCCGCUGGCUACACCCUGGAGCGUUUUCUUACAGGAGAACAGUCUCUACACACGUGCCUGCCCCAGACAUAGCUCCGUCCCUGCCUCAGACCCACACGGGUCCCGUCAGACCAGCCCCAUGUCUGCCUCAGACCCAUGCGGGACCCCUGUCCCUGUCUCAGACCCACAUGGGACCCACAUCUCUGCCUCAAACCCACAUGGGUCCCCCAUCAGACCAGCCCCAUCCCUGCCUCAGACCCACGUGGGUCCCCUGUCAGACCAGCCCCAUGUCUGCCUCAGACCCACGCGGGACCCCCGUCCCUGCCUCAGACCCACACGGUCCCCUGUCAGACCAGCCCUGUCCCUGCCUCAGACCCACACGGUCCCCUGUCAGACCAACCCUGUCCCUGCCUCAGACCCAUGUCUGCCUCAGACCCACGUGGGUCCCCUGUCAGACCAGCCCCAUGUCUGCCUCAGACUCACGCGAGACCCCCGUCCCUGCCUCAGACCCACACGGUCCCCUGUCAGACCAGCCCUGUCCCUGCCUCAGACCCACACGGUCCCCUGUCAGACCAACCCUGUCCCUGCCUCAGACCCAUGUCUGCCUCAGACCCACGUGGGUCCCCUGUCAGACCAGCCCCAUGUCUGCCUCAGACUCACGCGAGACCCCCGUCCCUGCCUCAGACCCACACGGUCCCCUGUCAGACCAGCCCUGUCCCUGCCUCAGACCCACACGGUCCCCUGUCAGACCAACCCUGUCCCUGCCUCAGACCCAUGUCUGCCUCAGACCCACGUGGGUCCCCUGUCAGACCAGCCCCAUGUCUGCCUCAGACUCACGCGAGACCCCCGUCCCUGCCUCAGACCCACACGGUCCCCUGUCAGACCAGCCCUGUCCCUGCCUCAGACCCACACGGUCCCCUGUCAGACCAACCCUGUCCCUGCCUCAGACCCAUGUCUGCCUCAGACCCACGUGGGUCCCCUGUCAGACCAGCCCCAUGUCUGCCUCAGACCCACGCGAGACCCCCGUCCCUGCCUCAGACCCACACGGUCCCCUGUCAGACCAGCCCUGUCCCUGCCUCAGACCCACACGGUCCCCUGUCAGACCAACCCUGUCCCUGCCUCAGACCCAUGUCUGCCUCAGACCCACGUGGGUCCCCUGUCAGACCAGCCCCAUGUCUGCCUCAGACCCACGUGGGACCCCCGUCCCUGCCUCAGACCCACGCGGUCCCCUGUCAGACCAGCCCUGUCCCUGCCUCAGACCCACGCGGUCCCGUCAGACCAGCCCUGUCCCUGCCUCAGACCCAUGUCUGCCUCAGACCCACAUGGGUCCCCUGUCAGACCAGCCCCAUGUCUGCCUCAGACCCACGCGGGACCCCCUCCCUGCCUCAGACCCACGCGGUCCCCUGUCAGACCAACCCUGUCCCUGCCUCAGACCCACGUCUGCCUCAGACCCAUGUGGGACCCCUCCCCUCAGCCCAGCCCCGUCCCUGCCUCAGACCCACGCGGGAUUC
rnacentral:lncRNA from 1 species